rnacentral:rRNA from 1 species
UAACGCGAAGAACCUUACCAAGGCUUGACAUACACCGGAAACGGCCAGAGAUGGUCGCCCCCUUGUGGUCGGUGUACAGGUGGUGCAUGGUUGUCGUCAGCUCGUGUCGUGAGAUGUUGGGUUAAGUCCCGCAACGAGCGCAACCCUCGUUUUAUGUUGCCAGCGCGUUAUGGCGGGGACUCAUAGGAGACUGCCGGGGUCAACUCGGAGAAAGGUGGGGAUGACGUCAAAUCAUCAUGCCCCUUAUGUCUUGGGCUUCACGCAUGCUACAAUGGCCGGUACAAAGGGCUGCGAUACCGUAAGGUGGAGCGAAUCCCAAAAAGCCGGUCUCAGUUCGGAUUGAGGUCUGCAACUCGACCUCAUGAAGUCGGAGUCGCUAGUAAUCGCAGAUCAGCA